rnacentral:lncRNA from 1 species
GGGGGCUCGCAGGUUUCAAUCAAUUUUUUUUCUUAAUAUAGGGUUACGCUAUAUUUUUCUAUAAAUGAACUAUAUCUUAUACUUUAUAGAAAAAUAGAAAAAUUAAAUUAAAAUAAACAGCUGCGCCAUGAGCGCAUGAUACGCCCGACGUCUUGUGUGGAAGUUUUAUGCAAUAAUCAUAAAUAGUUUCUGAGAAAGUUUUAAGCAAUAACCAUAUAUUGUUUUUGAGACACGGCGGGACAUGUGAAACCCCCAAC